CAAACCCUAGCCACCGCAAAAGUCAGAGCCGCCCCCCUCCCUUUGCGAUAUCCAUCUGCUAUGCAGCAGCAGAAGCAUUAUCCGAUAGAUUUUCCACCAGAUUCUUCAUUGCCAUCAUCGGCGCGCCUCUCCACGAAUCCACAGGCCAAGGCACCGUCGGCGCCGCAUCAGGUAGAUGAUGACGAUGCAGUCGCCGGAAGCUGGGCACGACAGCCGGCGAGGAUGAGUCGCGUCCUUCCUUGUUCACCAUCCUGUCUUCUGUUUUGCCAUCGUUUCGUGUUUUUCUUCUUCAGAUCUACAAAUCCUGUGCCGCAAAUCACAAGCCAGAUGCAGUUUUUUUUUAUAGAUGAAAUUCAGAUUUUUUCAGAUCUGGUGAUGCCCCCCAGACGGUCGCAUCCAUUUGAUGUUUCCAUUUUCAAGCUAAGAUGGAUCCAGUAUGUGUGCGCAGAAACAAUGGAUCUAGCGUGUGUCACUAUGUCUGAGUUGAUUGUUUUCUAGUAAAUCUUCUGCCUCUCACUUCUUAAUAAUUCCGUUUUUCACUCUUCUUGUUCUAAGAGGGUUUCUUCAUGCUUCCAAUGUUUUUUCUUCCAACUCGCUCUGCCUUAGAUGUCAUAUAUAUGAUAUGACUGCCGUAGACAUGUCUCUGUUAUAACUUCCUCGUUGAUUUUUUUUCAACUGCCUUAGGCGUUUGAAACUUCUUCAUUCAUUCAUUGCCCCAAGCAGAGCUGAUCCCUUGGCUUGUUUCUUGAUUGGUUGGUUUGUUGCAGAUCUGGGUGCUUAGACCUCUUUUCUUCUUUUCAUGUCGUAUCCCACAGAAAAUGAGUUAUAAUUUGCUCCGCGUCAUUUCAGUAUGAGAUUUCCUCUUCGUGAUUUCAGUAUGAGCUGCUUCGGCUAUCAGAUUUGUAUUCUCUGUUUAAAGAUAUUUCUGCAGAUUGCUCAGACUUUCGUCAUGCUUCUAAUAAUUUGUUUCGUUAAAUAUUGCCUGACGUCUCUGGAGCAUUAUGUACUUAUGCUCCUGGCACUAGUCUUCCAUGUCCGAUGGCACGGCAAGGACCUACUUUGACUGAUGUUUAUCAGCAACCCGCCUUGGAGUUGAAUGUAGUGCUCGUAUGUGAAUUUGUUCAUACUGAAUUUGUGCUCCAUGAUGAUGUGUCGAUGUGCAAGCUGUUGUAUUGUCUGUCUUUCAUGCUUCGUCAUGCGGUGUACAUUCAUCAUUCAAGAAGGGUAUUUUAUUAGUGCAGCUGAUGCCUAAACUAUUUCUAGUUGUA